UCGAUGAUCAGUGAGACAGAGG
rnacentral:miRNA from 2 species